rnacentral:rRNA from 1 species
AGAGUUUGAUCAUGGCUCAGGAUGAACGCUAGCUACAGGCUUAAUACAUGCAAGUCGAGGGGAAACGAUAUUGGAAGCUUGCUUCCGAUAGGCGUCGACCGGCGCACGGGUGAGUAACGCGUAUCCAACCUGCCCACCACUUGGGGAUAACCUUGCGAAAGUAAGACUAAUACCCAAUGACGUCUCUAGAAGACAUCUGAAAGAGAUUAAAGAUUUAUCGGUGAUGGAUGGGGAUGCGUCUGAUUAGCUUGUUGGCGGGGUAACGGCCACCAAGGCUACGAUCAGUGGGGUUCUGAGAGGAAGGUCCCCCACAUUGGAACUGGAGACACGGUCCAAACUCCGUACGGGAGGCA